GGCCGCUCUGCCUCUUACAAGCCGGGUGCACGUCAUGUGCUAAUGUGGCAACGAAAAAAAGAAAAAAAGGCAAAAGCAAUAACGUACAGAGUCUGUGUGACGCCCUCGCCGCCCCACCGUCGUGCGACCCCCUCGUAAUGGGCCAUCCAGAGAGAAUUCCAUGACCCGCAAAGCACAGCAGCAACAUCCCUAAGGUCAACGAUGUGUUUCAUCAUCAUCAUCACAGUAUCACCAUAAAUCAUCAGUGCCUGUUGAUGUUUUCCUCCAGGCGUGCUGCUGCAGAGAUGUUUCGUUAUCUUCUUAUGACGUGCAGAAGAGGCCGCUUCAACUCCCUGGCCAGUUCAAGCAAGCUGGGAGAUGAGCUGGAGUCCAUGGGAACACGUCUGCAGAGCUGCACAGGUUAAGUCAAGCAUUCUGGUUUGAUUCCUUUAUGAUGAAGUAAGUGUCUACCAGUCAAGGAAGGACGUCCACUUACGAAAGAGACAAUUUCCUGCACACCUGUUGCUCACACAGCUGAUGUAACACAGAAGACAAGAAUGUAUUUCAUUUCCACCCAAAAGAAAACGGGAACUCCUGAAAUCACAGUAGAACCUCUGAGGUCGAACACGAUCCAUUCUGGAAUGCUUUUUUUCUUUAGAUUUUUCCCAUAGGACAUAAUGUAGUGGCGGCAUGAUGGGUUUUCUCCAGAUACUUUUUUCCACAUUCCAAAAACAUGCACGUUUGGUUAAUUGAACGCUUUAAAUUGCCCAUAGUGAGUGUGAAUGCUUGUUUGUCUAUGUGCGCCUUUAGAUUGGCUGGCAACCAGUCCAAAUUCCAAUAUUUGUUGUAUUUUAUGCUCUCCCUUACCAUAGUUCGGGUAUGUGGACGUUAAAUUAUUUUAUUUUUAUUAUUAUAUAUAUAUUUUUUUUUUAAAAUCUGCCUAUGGCUCUUCAGAAUCAGCAGUGCUGGCUUAUGUAACUUAAACUACAGCAUUUUAGCAAUGGGACUGUUUCUUUCGCCAGUUAUAUUUCAAAUUCAUCCUCAGAGGGCCACUGAGCUGGCCCUCGAUGAUGUCAGCAUGUUUCCAUCCUCUGAUUGGUUCAACGAGCAAAACACGACUGUAGUGUUCUUCACACAAUACAUUUAAUAAUCAGCCUCUCUGGUAAGUAUGAUGUAUUUUAUUUAAAUUAUGUUUUUGUUAUGUUAUUAGAUAAAUAUCGAUCGUGAACUGCUCCAGAUAAUGUACAUACUGUAGCACAGUGGCAAGCUGUUUUAUUGCAUCUUUGUAUAGUGCUGAUGGUUUCUAAUCGCAAUGUGAUAGUGGUGGUAUUAAGAGGUGGAUUAAGUCGGGUAAGACCUCAUUGAAGGCCUAGGUACCAAAUGGGCCUGCCACUGAAUGAGAGACACACACACGUAUCUUGCUGUUAAUGGACAGUACAUUGAUGCUUUAACACAGUGGGCGCUCUGUUCAGUGGUAAUGAUUUAUGUGAGUUCAAGUCCCUGUCUUUAUGUGGAAAAUCUAUUUGGAUAUGGGAAGAGCCACACGGCAGAAAGUAGGUUUUUCUUAAACAAAUGAUACAAGGACUUCCAUUUUCGUCACACAACUACACUGCAACCCUCAGCAAAACAUUAGCCUGUAAUAAAGUGGCCACAAGCAGCAAGGCUAAUGUUCCACUUUGACAGGUGUUAGAUUCCAGUAUCUCUUAAUCCAUCCUUGAAACGAUCAAGUUUCCCCAAGGAAGUGUAUGUUUCCGGUUAUUCAUGCAGCAACUUGUCUCGACGUGAGUGUGUUUGUGCUAAAAAGAUCACCCAGCAAGUGCACCAGGAAUACAAUUUUUUAUUACGUUUUUUUUUUUAUUUUUUUUUACUAACUACUGCUUUUUUACAUGUACUGCAUAUAAUGUUAUAUUUGCCCAUGUAUGCAUUUUUGUACUGCUUGGUCACAGGUGAACUGCAGCCUAUCCUAGCUGAGUCACAUACAGACAAGCAGCCAUUCAUACCCACAUUUACAUCUAUCAACAAUUUAGAGUCUUCAGUGAACCUAACAAGCAUGUUUUUGGGAAAGUUCAACCCUGGUUUCAUUGGACCAUAACAAAGUCUCCCAAGCACAUGAAAAAUGUAUGUUUGGUGCGAACAACAAUGAUCAUCACCAAAAGAACACCAUUCCUACAUUGUAUGUAGUAUGUUGAUAACAGUGUCAUGCUUUGGGGCUUUUUUUCUUCAGCUGGACAUGAGGCCUUAGACAAGGUGGAGGGACAUAGUGUGAGAACGAAACCUACAGGCUUCUGCCAGAAAGAAAAUGUCAGAAAAAACCCAAAUGAACAGCUGCACUUUAUUGGGGUGAAUCAAAGACACUUUAUAUGGUGGUAGGUGUGUGCUGGCUAGCCAUUUAGUAUAACUUUGAAGGUGAUUGGUUAAAUCUGAACACAGCCACAUUCAAGUUAUAAAAGCGU